GUAGAGACUAGAGUCUCAUCUUGACAGUAACCAUUGUCUUGAUGUGCUAGAUUCCUCUUAGAAAAAAGAGUUGCUAUUCACUGGCUGGCUUUCUUUUCGGCCAGUCAGCCACAUGUGCAAUCACAAGA